AGUGCCACAUGGCAGUGAUUAAUUGGACAAAAAAAAUAAAAAAACCUGCACACACAAUAACAGCCACACAUACAAUAGGAUGAAGGAGAUUAUUUCUCAUUCUCUCUCCGUGAACCUUUCUUUUUCACCAAAGAAAUCCACCAUUGAUAUUUCUAUUAACACCACAAACAAAGACAAUCAUCCAAAGAAAAAUAGUAAGAAAAGUGUACCGCUGGAAGUGAAGGGGGUAUGCGAAAACUAGCGGCGAUGGUGGUCUCUGUUGGUGUUUGGUCUUCACGGUGAGGUGGUUCCCGGCGGAGGAGAGAAGUGGUUGUUCUUGCGUGCGGUGAUGCUUUCGUCAAAGGGCUGCGAAUUCGGUUCGGCUAGGAGCGGUGAGGGCUGAAACACUAUUCCGGCGGUCACAGAUCCGCGAUUUUUUUGUUGUUGUCUGUUGGAAAUAGCAGUUGGCCUUCAGGUUUGAACCAGUUGACUGUGGAUCUUGGGAUUGUUUGAGCAAAGCUUUGGAAUUGAAUCUUGAACUUUGAAUCAUUGUAAAUGGAAUAUGGAAGGCAAAUUUUGGGCAAUAGCAUUCUGUACUAAAAUGAUCAUAACUGGAGCUACGGGAAUCCGGUUGAUGCGUUCUAAUAAUCACCGGAAAGCUAAGAGAAAGAUCUACAACUUUUGUGUGGGAGUCAAAGUCAGAUUUGGAGCGCAUAUUUUCCAGAAUUUCGUUUGAAGCUGCACCAUUAGUUAUUUUCAUUUUGGGUCAUUUGUAUUGGGCCUGGGUUAUGUAUUUGACCCAGUUGGGCUGUAAACCGUUUGGUUCUCUCUAGUACCUAGUUCUGGUCGUACUGUUAAUUCAUCACUUUUUACUUUUCACGAAAUAACUUUGGAAGCUUUUGUACGAUCGUGUAAUGGAGAACUAAUUCCAUAAGGCAAUUUCUGCUAGUUACAGUUUCUAAUACUUUGAGGUUUUUAAUCUUUAAACCAAUUUCUUCUC